UUGGGUUAAGUGCGUGUAGGCGGCCGGUUAAGUCAGGCGUGAAGCCCAGGGCUCAACCCUGGAAGUGCGCUUGAAACUGAUCGGCUUGAGUCCGGGAGAGGGAAGCGGAAUUCCUGGUGUAGAGGUGAAAUUCGUAGAUAUCAGGAGGAACACCGGUGGCGAAGGCGGCUUCCUGGACCGAGACUGACGCUGAGGCGCGAAAGCGUGGGGAGCAAACAGGAUUAGAUACCCGAGUA
rnacentral:rRNA from 1 species